UGACCUUGAAAAGUCUCCGUAAGCCUUACUUUUCGCAAUUUCUAAAUAGGAACACGUGUGGUAAAACACUUCGGUAAAUCUAAAUGGUGUGAUGUGUUUUAAAUUUGGAACUGUUAGCCUAAUAUAGUAUGUGGUUUAUCUCAAGUGAAGAUCCCAGCCACCCUUACAGCACCAGAUUCUUCUUCCUUUCUUAGGAAAAGAGAGACAAGGCCUUGAAAUAGAAAUUUUUAUUUGAAUAUUUACUUGGGACUAAAUCAAGGAUGGAGCCAUCUUCUCUAAGACUCUUCAUUUAGACCAAGUGUGAAUGGUGAGGUAGAGAGAGAGUCCUUCUUCACUCCAGCUCUGCAAUAACACCGCGGACUACCAAAAGGAUGACUGCAAGAGACACCACGACUUCUAGAAUGACCUGCUGGAUAUGUAUUCUUAUUCUUCCAGAAGCUGUGUGUGGCCAUGACAAUGUGAAUGGAGGGACUGGCUUCACCAAAUCAUUCACUCUACCCAGCUCAGGAAAAGGACAAUGCAGGAGAGACAACAAUCAGAAAGAGUGAUGUUGACACACAUCUGCUCAAAUAUACUAACAUUUCUAUCCCAACUGCCUCAGUUGGCAAGAACACCCCUACUCCUCUUUGUGAGUAUAGAACUGGGGAGAGGGCACUGAAAGGGGAGAGGCAUUUCACAAUUUGUCAAGAUAUGUAUUCCAGCACUUAUUUUAAAAAAUAAGUACCAGGUCCAACUUGAGCUAAUAAGCUAAUGACUGCUUAUCCUUUACUAUUAAGCUUCAAAGCGGCUCUUAACUAAAUGAGCCAAUUAUUAUAUCGCCAUGUAUUUUUUAUUCCUUCCUGUUAAAUCAUGCAUUCGGUGUUAUAUGGAAGUUUUAUGCUUAUUAAAAAAUAACCAGCAUGUAUGAGCUUAUGAAAGGAAACCUCACUCAGAUUUUUAAAAAGCAAAUGAAAACCUUCAAAUCUAACUGGUGCCAUAUGGUACACUCAGAAACACUUGUAAAAGGAAAGUUAAACCUUGAAUAUAUUAAUGAUUUUUCCUGAAAGAAAAAAAAAUGCCUUUUUCCAUCUUUGCAUGUGAAAAGACUUCUGAAUAGGGCAUGAUGGAACACUUUUCUAUACAAAGAAGUGAAUUCAGUAAUGUAAACCUUGUAUUGGUUUUAUUAUCAUUAUGCUUAUAAAUAGUGCAUGGUUUUGAGCAAGACAAAUCAUUAACACUGUGCCUUUAUAAUGCUCUUAAGAUCUUAAAGACUUAAAGAUAUCCAUAGCUGGC
rnacentral:lncRNA from 12 species